rnacentral:rRNA from 1 species
AUACGGAGGGUGCAAGCGUUACUCGGAAUCACUGGGCGUAAAGGACGCGUAGGCGGGUUGGUAAGUCAGGUGUGAAAUCCUACAGCUUAACUGUAGAACUGCACUUGAAACUACCAACCUAGAGUAUGGGAGGGGGAGAUGGAAUUAGUGGUGUAGGGGUAAAAUCCGUAGAUAUCACUAGGAAUACCGAAAGCGAAGGCGAUCUCCUGGAACAUAACUGACGCUAAGGCGUGAAAGCGUGGGGAGCAAACAGGAUUAGAUACCCUAGUAGUCC